UUGAAUUUUUUUCCUUGUAGGAAGUUAUCCAAAUUCCGAAAAAAAGGUAAACUGUUGGAGCAAGGUCCGGGGAGUACGGUGGAUGUCGCAGACAUUCCAAUUGAAGCUCCUCGAAUUUGGUA